GGGCCGGAACGACCUGUUACCGUUAAUUUAUACCACUAAAAUCUACAAGAGUUGUCUUUCUUUAAGAAGCAGAAGACACUUGCUGUGAAAACGGAAAUGGCUGCCGAAUUCUGAAGAAAAGUUUAUUUUAGGGAUCUUUACAGGUAUACUUAGGAAAACUGACUGUCAGGUACAGUGCUAUUAGGAUGUUGUCCACUAAGCUAAUGAUGGGGAUUGUAGCACUACCCUGCACACAGACAUGGAAUGGAUUUGCCCAGUCCAUUAUCAGAAGAGUGACCAGGACUGUUCGUCCCAUCAGAGAAGUUUCUCGAGAAGCAUUACAAGGGACUUGUAUGAAUGGGCAGAAGAAUUUUAUUUAACUGACCACCCCAUCAUUGCCUGCUGUUGGAGACUGAACACUUUAUUGAAAAUUGCUGGGUGUAGCAAUCAGUGGGUGUCCUUAUUUGCCCUGAGAAGAGUCAGAGAACUCCCUGGGCCUCAUGAGAUGGUGACACUCUGCAGUAGCAGUUCCUACCGAUAUCUCUUAAAAGCAGACAGAGGUUCUCAUAGCAUCUGAUCCAUUUCUGGAGACAAACUUUUGUAUGGAGCUGGGUAGCAGUUACUUGAGAUGUCCGGCUGAUUGAUGAGGAUAAUUUCCCUGAGACUCUAACAUUCUGUAGGACUUGGAUAGCUCUAUUACUGUAGAAAAUGUCAGGACAGUGGAGAUUUAGAUAAGUGGUGUGAUGUUAUUGAUGGUAAACAGAAGACUGUGACCUUGAAUCUGAAGAUCUGUGAUGAAGACUGGACGUUUGCGGUCACUCUCUGUUACAGUACUACAAAUCUAAGUAAGUACUCAGUAAUAAUGUAAGACUGAACUCUGUAUCAUGUUUAUCUAAUAUAUACAUUGUAAAAUCAAACACAUAUUGAAUUAAUUCACAAACAAAAUAAUGUUCUGUUAAACUCUCAAAAACAAGUACAUGUUACACAUCACAAACAGAGGACUGUAAUGUACACAGGGCUGUAAUUAACACAGGGGUGUAAUUAACACAGGGCUGUAAUUAACAAGCUGAUGUAAUUAACAAGUAGAAGGAAUUAACACAGUUCUGUAAAUUACACUGUAGAGCCGUGUAAUUAACGCUGCAUAGAGCUGUGUAAUUAACACCGUAGAGCUGUGUAAUUAACACUGUGUAGAGCUGUGUAAUUAACACUGUAGAGCUGUGUUUAUAGAUAUUGGAUUGUCUUCACUUUAGCAGUGUCAUACUCAGCCACAAAGAGGUUGUCUCUGAUGUCCACACAUAAACCUAAUGGACGAUCUAAAUCACAGUGAAUGUAACGGAGGAACUGUCCGUCCUGAUCUAGGAUGUGGAUACGGUGAUUGUGAUGGUCUGCUGUCAGGAUGUGACUCUGGCUGUCUGUAGUGAUGCCGAAUGGAUUAAAUGAUUGCUUAGUAUUAGAGGGAUGACCAGUGUAUCUAAAUCGGAGUUUUCCUGACUGAUUGACCACCACUACUGCACUAGCUGACCGGUCAGCCACACAGAUAUCCAGGUUCUUGUUCUCACUGAGGUAUUUAAUGUCAUCAACAGAUGAGUAGAGAGGACGACCCUGAUCAUCAAACUGAAUGCUUUGUUUCUCUGUGGAGCCGGAGUAACGCACGACUUUGGAUUGUGUUUCAUCAUCACUGACCAUGGUAACCAGGAGGUCGUUACCCGCGGUACAGCAGACACGGAGAGGUCUCCACCCCUGUAGUGUGAUCACGGUCUGUAUCUGUUUAUUCUUUAUUAAGUUUAUAGUGUAGUUACUAUAGUCAGUAUAAACAAGAUCUCCGUCCCGUGUCACUGCUAUGUCUGUUGGUUCGUACCCUGACUUGGUUUGUAUUGAUGUCAGUAGUUUACUCUGGAGGUUGAGCAGCUUCAUGGUUUCGUUAUCCCCGCGUGUCCAGACUUGAUCUUCACUCAGACAGCUAACAUUGUGUAGAUAGUCAUACCCAGUGUCUAUGGUGGCGGUGACGCGCGGCUCAUCAAGCAGUGGUUUGACUGGAGGAGACGAUACAGCUUCUGCUGACUUCAUUGUGUAGCCUUGUUCUGUGUUAAUGGAUAAUGGCGGCAGAGAACCAAACAUUUCAUUGAGCUGAUCUUUGUUUAUUUUCUGAGGAGAUAAACUCGGUAAUGUGACUCGGACUUUAGGCGGUAAUGAUCUAAAUUCGGAAUUCCUAGAUUUGUAAGUAGAGGUUAAGGAGACGUCAUUUGAUUUUAGCAUUGAUUUCAAGUCCGAAAUGAUCUGUUUGAGUUCCGCCAUUUUCUGUGUGAUUUCUUCUGUAUUUUUAUUUAGCGCGUCCAGAUGUUUAGUUUUCAUCUCCCCAAUGGCGGAUUUCCGUCGGUUAACAAUGGCGGUGAUCUCCUGGUGUAGGAUUUCUCCUUUUUCAUCGGCAUCUGUCGUCAGUUUCCCGUAUUUCAUUUCUAAUUCUGCUUUCUCUGUUUCGACAUCAGACACCAUUCCUUCAUACCGGGGGUAAAUUCUGGUCUCGAGUUCUUCUAGAUCUUUUUGUAAACUUUCUGUUUUAGCGCUGAGUUUUUCCAGAAUAUCUGAUAUAUCGUGACCUUUGUGUUUACCUGAAGUGACGCAGGUAGAACAGACAGGAAUGCCACAUUUUUCACAGAACAUUUCGCAGUGUUUAUCGGUGUGUUUCGAACAUUUUGGGUAGCUAGGGGUAGGCUUUCUGUGUAAAAAGGGCACGACAUUGUGUCUUUUAGACGAGUCUGAGAGAUGCUUUACUGCACAGUUAACACAGAGAUUUAUAUUACAAAGUUCACAGUGACUCUGUAGGGGGACAGUUUCACAGAGGUCACACAGUAGGACUUCCUGAGCACUGCGCCGGGGAUGCAUUUCUAAUGGCGGGAUCACACGAGGAGUUUACUGUUAAUUAAAUAAAAACAGAAUUUUAUUUUUAAAUUAAAGAUUUUGACAGAUUACAACAAUUAACGAAAUAGAAUUAUAGUAUGAUAUAAAACACAGUGGUCAUUACUAUAAUAAUAAUUUAGUCUCACCUUAAAAUCCAACAUGGCCUCCCUGUUCUUUCGACCUUCCGUCUAGUCCUGAGAAUUAAAUACCUGUGCGGCGUGUCAGCCUGUAUACACUAUCUACGUGUUAUCGCUUGAGAAAAUACACAGUUUUAAAGUUUUGUUUGACCUAGUUUAUGUUGGGUAGUUUUGCUAACAUUUACGUCAGACGUAAAGCUUUCCUUGAUUAAAAAAUUCGAAUCUGCAAACAAUGUAUAGAUAUAACUUUUUUGAUUAUAUCCCUUUUUAUAUUGAAUUCGGCCUUUUGUACAAAUACAAUCAUAUUUAUAGCUAAAACAACGAUAAGCAAUAUUCAUAUUGGACGCAGGGAGGAGGGGGGGGGGGUUGCAGCGGACCACUGUUGGGGGGGGGGGGGGGGGAUUUCAUGCAGUGGACCUGUUUUGUACCAAUUACAUAUCUUUGUUUUGAUAUACUUAACAGCUUUUUUUUCUGUUGUAGAAUGAGUUGAGUGGAAUAAUGAACCUCCAGAUGUCUAUGUACACGUGUAUGAAUAAACUGUAGCGCAUGCGAGCUUAUCCUAUA